CCUACGGGAGGCAGCAGUGAGGAAUAUUGGUCAAUGGCCGGGAGGCUGAACCAGCCAAGCCGCGUGAAGGACGACGGUGCCAAGCAUUGUAAACUUCUUUUGUCAAGGGACAAAAUCAGGCUCGAGAGCCUGUCCGAGGGUACUUGAAGAAAAAGCAUCGGCUAACUCCGUGCCAGCAGCCGCGGUAAUACGGAGGAUGCGAGCGUUAUCCGGAUUUAUUGGGUUUAAAGGGUGCGUAGGCGGACUGUUAAGUCAGCGGUAAAAUCCCGGGGCUCAACCCCGUCGAGCCGUUGAAACUGGUUGUCUUGAGAUGUCGAGAGGUAUGCGGAAUGCGCAGUGUAGCGGUGAAAUGCUUAGAUAUUGCGCAGAACUCCGAUUGCGAAGGCAGCAUACCGGCGGCGAUCUGACGCUGAGGCACGAAAGUGUGGGUAUCGAACAGGAUUAGAGACCCUUGUAGUC
rnacentral:rRNA from 1 species